rnacentral:rRNA from 1 species
GAUGAACGCUGGCGGCGUGCCUAACACAUGCAAGUCGAGCGAACAGACGCGGCGCUUGCUCCUCUCACGUAAGCGGUGGAUGGGUGAGUAACACGUGGCUCAUCUCUUUAUAAGACUGCGAUAAAUUCGGGACACCGGAGCUAAUACCGGAUUAUAUAUUGCACAGCAUGGUUCAAUAGUGCAAGACGGUUUUGUUGUCACUUAUAGAUGGAUCCGCGCGGCAUUAGCUUGUUGGUAAGGUAACGACUUACCAAGGCAACGAUGCGUAGCCGACCUGAGAGGGGGAUCGGCCACACUGGAACUGAGACACGGUCCAGGCGCCUACGGGAGGCAGCAGUAGGGUAUCGGCCGCAAUAGGCGAGAGCCUGACAGAACAACGGCGCGUGAGUGAUGAAAAUCUUCGGAGCGUAAAACUGUGUUAUGGGGUAAAAACAAAUGUGUGAGGAACUAUGCACGACGUGACGGUACCUAAUCAAGAAGCCACGGCUAACUACGUG